rnacentral:rRNA from 1 species
UACGUAGGCAGCAAGCGUUGUUCGGAAUUACUGGGCGUAAAGAGUGUGUAGGCGGUGCUCUAAGUUCGGUGUGAAAUCUCCCGGCUCAACUGGGAGGGUGCGCCGGAAACUGGGGUGCUGGAGCGCGGGAGAGGAAAGCGGAAUUCCUGGUGUAGCGGUGAAAUGCGCAGAUAUCAGGAAGAACACCCGUGGCGAAAGCGGCUCUCUGGAACGGUACUGACGCUGAGACGCGAAAGCGUGGGGAGCGAACAGG